rnacentral:misc_RNA from 1 species
UUUGUGGCUUGAAAAUUUGGAUAUAUUUUUUAUGAGCCCGAUUUGAAAGUUUUUCACGAUGUGACUCGAUUGGGAUAAAAGUGAAUUUUGUGGUGGUAGCUAAGAGCAUAGGCUGAUAGGCUUGAGCUCGAAGCCUACUAUUGAUCUCUUUGGGGGUGCGGGGGCAACGCCCCCACGGUAUAGACCAGUAUAAAUAUUGUA